UACGAAGGGGGCUAGCGUUGUCCGGAAUUAUUGGGCGUAAAGCGCGCGCAGGCGGUCCCGUAAGUCUGAUGUGAAAGCCCAGGGCUCAACCGUGGAGGGUCAUUGGAAACUGCGGGACUGGAGUACAGAAGAGGAAAGUGGAAUUCCAUGUGUAGCGGUGAAAUGCGUAGAGAUGUGGAGGAACACCAGUGGCGAAGGCGGCUCACUGGCUCGAUACUGACGCUGAGGUGCGAAAGUGUGGGGAGCAAACAGG
rnacentral:misc_RNA from 1 species